rnacentral:rRNA from 1 species
UACGUAGGGUGCAAGCGUUGUCCGGAAUUAUUGGGCGUAAAGAGCUCGUAGGCGGUUUGUCGCGUCUGGUGUGAAAAUCCAGGGCUUAACCCUGGACCUGCAUCGGGUACGGGCAGACUAGAGUGCGGUAGGGGAGAUCGGAAUUCCUGGUGUAGCGGUGAAAUGCGCAGAUAUCAGGAGGAACACCGGUGGCGAAGGCGGAUCUUUGGGCCGUAACUGACGCUGAGGAGCGAAAGCAUGGGGAGCGAACAGG